UGCGGGGGGGCCUACCAUGCAGUCGACGCCCUCUUCGGAGGGAGUGGCAGACGGGUGAGUAACGCGUGGGAACCUACCUAGUGGUACGGAAUAACUCGGGGAAACCCGUGCUAAUACCGUAUGUGCCCGAAAGGGGAAAGAUUUAUCGCCAUUAGAUGGGCCCGCGUCGGAUUAGCUUGUUGGUGAGGUAAUGGCUCACCAAGGCGACGAUCCGUAGCUGGUCUGAGAGGAUGAUCAGCCACACUGGGACUGAGACACGGCCCAGACUCCUACGGGAGGCAGCAGUGGAGAAUAUUGGACAAUGGGCGCAAGCCUGAUCCAGCCAUGCCGCGUGAGUGACGAAGGCCUUAGGGUUGUAAAGCUCUUUUGGGCGGGGACGAUAAUUGACGGUACCCGCAGAAUAAGCCCCGGCUAACUUCGUGCCAGCAGCCGCGGUAAUACG
rnacentral:rRNA from 1 species